AGGCCCGUAGCUCAACUGGAAGAGCACCGGACUCCAAAUCCGGGGGUUGGGGGUUCAAAUCCUCCCGGGCCUGCCA
rnacentral:tRNA from 1 species